CAGCCGCCACGGUAAUACGUAGGGUGCAAGCGUUAAUCGGAAUCACUGGGCGUAAAGCGUGCGCAGGCGGUUUGUUAAGACAGAUGUGAAAUCCCCGGGCUUAACCUGGGAACUGCAUUUGUGACUGGCAAGCUAGAGUAUGGCAGAGGGGGGUGGAAUUCCGCGUGUAGCAGUGAAAUGCGUAGAUAUGCGGAGGAACACCGAUGGCGAAGGCAGCCCCCUGGGCCAAUACUGACGCUCAUGCACGAAAGCGUGGGGAGCAAACAGGAUUAGAUACCCGUGUAGUCCCUGUCUCUUAUAC
rnacentral:rRNA from 1 species